ACUAUUGAGGUCUGGGCUAUAAACUAGGAUUAGAUACCCUAUUAUACUAGAUUGGUAGUGUGUUGCUUGAGUAGUAAUCAGUUAUGUUCUUGAAACUUAAAGAAUUUGGCGGUAUUCAAGUCUAGUUAGAGGAACCUGCCCAGUUAUCGAUAUGCCACGUAGUAUUUUACUUUUAUUCGUAUUCAGUUUGUAUACCGCCAUUAGUAAGUAAUAUUUAUAGGUGUGUUCUAAAAUAGGUGUUGUUUAGUAUAUUAGGUCAAGGUGCAGCUAAUGUAAAAGUUGCGGUGGGUUACAUUAUUUUUUAGAUUUGCGGAUCCUGGGGGCCAUGUCCCUUUUUAAAGUUGGAUUUAAUAGUAAUAUUAUUUUAAUAUGGUAGUUUGAUAAAAGCUCUAGAAUAUGUACAUAUUGCCCGUCGCUCUCAUUA
rnacentral:rRNA from 1 species